GAUGAACGCUAGCGGGAGGCCUAACACAUGCAAGCCGAGCGGUAUUUGGUAGCUUGCUACUAGAGAGAGCGGCGUACGGGUGCGGAACAUGUGUGUAACCUACCCUUAUCAAGGGGAUAGCCCGGAGAAAUUCGGAUUAAUACCCUAUAAUAUAUUGGAUGGCAUCAUUUAAUAUUGAAAGUUACGACGGAUAAGGAUGGGCACGCACAAGAUUAGCUAGUUGGUGAGGUAACGGCUCACCAAGGCGAUG
rnacentral:rRNA from 1 species